UGUUUUCCUCAGGACUGAGCGGGCGGCGCCAUGGAGGCUCCAGGACAGGGCUGCCUGCGUGUCCGCGGGAGGAGGACGCUCCCCGCCCGCUGUCUGAAGUUACGCCGGUUUCCCACUGCCUGCGCCGGCUUCCUGCCGGGGUGUGUGUGGACCUGACCGAGCUGGGGCCCCGGCCGGCUGGGCAGGAGGGGACUGGUGCCCUGGCGGGCCCGCUUCGACUAUUCUCCUCGCCCGCAGGGAGCGGAUUGAAUCUGACUGAGACAUAACUUCGAUGAGAUCACACUGCUAUUAAACAUCAGUAUUGAAAAUCAAAUAUUUCAUACUAUUUGUCAAUCUUGAAAGAAAGAGUAUUUCCAAAAAAAAAAAAAAAGAGGAGUUGUUAAGCUGCCCCAGAUACAUAUGCACUGGCUUGAGGACCAGCAUAUUGAAGGAACUUGAAAAUGGAAGACCACCUCCACCCUACUGCCCUCUUCAACAGAAAAGCAAUCGGGACUGGUUCCUGACAUUGUGCCCUGUGGAGCUGUCAUUACAGCUUAAUCACUCCACUCACCAGAGAACUCGACAUAUCACAUCACACGUCUUAAGACUAUUUAGGAUGAUGGCACACAUUCCAAGCCGACUUUAUGAUUUCCUUUUUGGUGAUCUCCUCCUGUUGAAAAGUAAAAUGUCCUCCCAAAGGUUGUUUUCUGACGUUGGUUAUUUUAAGUGUCCCCUAUCAGAUUGCCAUUCUCCCCUCUCUUUUCUCAUGUUCUCCUCUGAAUGGAUAUCCAUCCCUUUGUCAUCAUUUUGUCUAGUUUUCUGAUAUCCUAACCAUUCUCUUAAUUUCCAGUUCCACCUCCUGUAUACAAGGAACAUUAUUCUGGAAGACACUUCCCUGAAACCUGAGUUUCAACAGAAACUUGGGGGCAAGGGUUCUGCCCAUACAGUGAGAACAAGCAAUUAUAACCUUAAGAGAGUAUGGGAAUUCUGAUGUCACUACUCCGUGAUUCUUUAUUUUCAGUCAAUAAAUAACAUGUACCUCUGAUGAUGGCUGUAUGGUCAGGCAACUCAAGAUGGCUUCUCUCUAUACAUCUCCUGCUUGACUGGUGCCUGCUUCACCUACACACAACUCAUAAGACUGAUCUUCCUUCAUAUUCACCCCAGGCCCCAGCUAAUGACUGUUCUAGAUUUAGAUCAGAACUCACCACUAUGCUUAUCCAAGGGGUGGUGAGAGGCAUGACCCUGUGCUGAUUACCCACAUAACCAAUGAGCCAACCUGACAUCAACUCCCCUAUGACUGGUAACCUCUUCUUCCCCACCAGGAGCAAAGACUGCCAUCAUGUCCUGCCCUCCAGCUCCCACACAUGGCAGGAUGUUGCUCCAGGACUUUGCUUCAGAUGUGUAAGAUCACCCUAAUCAUUAAACUAUUGAUUAUCUCUGUUGCUGACUCUGGGAUCUUUCUCAGGUCUUGAAGCUGGGCAAGUACAGGGCUUGUAGACCUGCAGGGUGCAGUCCAGUGCUGACAUAGCUAAUUAAUACCCUCACAUAAAACACUUCAUUUAUAUAAACAUAAUGUAACUAGUAGCCAAAUUGGGUUCAAAAGAAUGGAAAUACAUGGAGAUCAGAAGCAACCUUAGCUCUAGGGUCCUCAGAAAGCCCAGAUUCAGUGGGAUAUCAUGGUACAGCACAAGGCUUGUGGGGAAAAAUGAAUAGCAGGCACAGCUUUGCCCAUCUCUUAUCUAAUUCUCAAUAGUUCCUUCUGCUAUUGGACCAACCUGGGAUGUGUCUAUGUCCAUUCAAAUACUAUCCCUUUCUGAAACUCUUAUGAAAAUUUCAGUGCACAUCAUGUUAAUUAUGAUGUUUCACUCAUGAUGCCACUUAAACUUAUCAUCAUCUUGCAUUGUUUCAAAAUAUUGAAUGUAUGUAAUUACUCUAAUUAUUUAUGUUGCCUUAUUUUAGUUGUGAUGGUUAUAUAUUUUUCCAGGUUUAUUUUCUUCUCUUGUAAAACUGUCUGCUCAAGCAAAGUAGAUCUACCCAAUGUUUCACAAUGAUACCCUGUACAUUUUGCCUUCCCAAAAUGUUACUUUAAAUAUUCUAUUUGAAGAGUUUUCUCUCUCUUCUCACUCUGUGUGAAUAGUGUUCAUCCUUCAAAAACCAGUCAAUGCCAGUGACUUCAAAAGGGUCAUUCCUCUCACAAAAGUGUAUCUGACCUUGUGAGUAUGCUUUUUCUCAGAAAAAAAAAUCA